AUUGAACGCUGGCGGCAGGCCUAACACAUGCAAGUCGAACGGUAACAGGAAGCAGCUUGCUGCUUCGCUGACGAGUGGCGGACGGGUGAGUAAUGUCUGGGAAACUGCCUGAUGGAGGGGGAUAACUACUGGAAACGGUAGCUAAUACCGCAUAACGUCGCAAGACCAAAGGGGGGGACCUUAGGGCCUCUUGCCAUCGGAUGUGCCCAGAUGGGAUUAGCUAGUAGGUGGGGUAACGGCUCACCUAGGCGACGAUCCCUAGCUGGUCUGAGAGGAUGACCAGCCACACUGGAACUGAGACACGGUCCAGACUCCUACGGGAGGCAGCAGUGGGGAAUAUUGCACAAUGGGCGCAAGCCUGAUGCAGCCAUGCCGCGUGUAUGAAGAAGGCCUUCGGGUUGUAAAGUACUUUCAGCGGGGAGGAAGGGAGUAAAGUUAAUACCUUUGCUCAUUGACGUUACCCGCAGAAGAAGCACCGGCUAACUCCGUGCCAGCAGCCGCGGUAAUACGGAGGGUGCAAGCGUUAAUCGGAAUUACUGGGCGUAAAGCGCACGCAGGCGGUUUGUUAAGUCAGAUGUGAAAUCCCCGGGCUCAACCUGGGAACUGCAUCUGAUACUGGCAAGCUUGAGUCUCGUAGAGGGGGGUAGAAUUCCAGGUGUAGCGGUGAAAUGCGUAGAGAUCUGGAGGAAUACCGGUGGCGAAGGCGGCCCCCUGGACGAAGACUGACGCU
rnacentral:rRNA from 1 species